rnacentral:tRNA from 1 species
GCGCCCGUAGCUCAACCGGACAGAGCACUGGCCUUCUAAGCCGGGGGUUGUGGGUUCGAGUCCCGCCGGGCGUGCCA